GGCGUAAAGAGCUCGUAGGCGGUUUGUUGCGUCGGCUGUGAAAACCUGAGGCUCAACCUCAGGCCUGCAGUCGAUACGAGCAGACUAGAGUGUUGCAGGGGAGACUGGAAUUCCUGGUGUAGCGGUGAAAUGCGCAGAUAUCAGGAGGAACACCGGUGGCGAAGGCGGGUCUCUGGGCAACAACUGACGCUGAGGAGCGAAAGCGUGGGGAGCGAACAGGAUUAGAUACCCUGGUAGUCCACGCCGUUAAACGUUGGGCGCUAGGUGUGGGGCUCAUUCCACGAGUUCCGUGCCGCAGCUAACGCAUUAAGCGCCCCGCCUGGGGAGUACGGCCGCAAGGCUAAAACUCAAAGGAAUUGACGGGGGCCCGCACAAGCGGCGGAGCAUGUUGCUUAAUUCGAUGCAACGCGAAGAACCUUACCUAGGCUUGACAUGCACGGAAAUCCUCCAGAGAUGGUGGGUCCGUAAGGGCCGUGCACAGGUGGUGCAUGGUUGUCGUCAGCUCGUGUCGUGAGAUGUUGGGUUAAGUCCCGCAACGAGCGCAACCCUCGUUCUAUGUUGCCAGCACGUGAUGGUGGGGACUCAUAGGAGACUGCCGGGGUCAACUCGGAGGAAGGUGGGGAUGACGUCAAAUCAUCAUGCCCCUUAUGUCUAGGGCUGCAAACAUGCUACAAUGGCCGGUACAAAGGGCUGCGAUACCGCGAGGUGGAGCGAAUCCCAAAAAGCCGGUCUCAGUUCGGAUUGGGGUCUGCAACUCGACCCCAUGAAGUUGGAGUCGCU
rnacentral:rRNA from 1 species